UAGUAAAAUUAUGUUCAGCACUUAAUUUAUGCAUUCGAAUCUGUGCUUAAUUUGAGCCUCUCUGGCAUGAAAAAUAAUUGUCAAUUUUGUCAUGUAAAAAUUUGAGUAAUAACAGCGAUCAGAGUUAAAUCAAGUUGACUCCUUGUCAAUUCUCUUGCCCCCACAAAAACAUCAUAAUGUGAAAAUGCAUAUUUUCAUCCAGAGCCUGUCUUUUCUGAUAAUUGAUUCAGGCAGGUUGGGGAAGUACUAGGUUUGAGCAACAUUGUAUGUUUUGUAGCCUGCAUUACAUUUGUAUGGUUUGAUAAAGCAAUUUCCUCGGGGCUAAAUAAUAUCCGUUUGGUUUUCUUCAUGUGAAGUUUAUCUAGGUUUCGUUUACCCUGUUUGACUCGCGACCCACGUGACUACACAACGACCUGUCACGAGAUGCCCCCUUCAAUACAAAUCAGAACUAGGAUACUCGGAAAUGUCUGACCUGUUAACUGGUUGAUUGCGGCACAUGUAUACGUACAACCAGUUAGCAAGUCUGAAAUGUCAGAGUUUCAAGUUCUGACUAGAACGUGAACACGGAAAGAGGCACAGAGUUUCAAAAAUCGGAGACGUAACAUUGCGAGACUUCGUGAAACGUUUACCAAAAUUGCAAAAAAAACAUCUUAACACAUUCCCAUGACUGUCAUAUAAGGUCCAAUGAACUAGUCUAUGCCUACUGUGACCAGAGACAAUAUGGGAGUGACUGAGAUGAGGCAUGGAAAGUGAAACAUAAGGAAAGGGUAACUCAUCCAUUGGAAUGAUGCUAGCCUCACUUAGCCAGUCCCAUGACUGCUGAAACUCUGCACUAGGAAAUACAUCCCAGACAGAACACACCAUGGGUGUCCAGGGAUUGCCCAGUGCUGCAGACCAGAUGCAGCUAGACACUGUGGAUCGUGCUCCAAGCCCAGUGCAGCUUAAGGUAUUUUUGGAGACCCUUGGUGUGUCCCAGUCCACUUUGAGCGGUGUCCCGCCUCAUCUGCAUAUUCCUGUGGCUGUCACCUGCUACUGGCUGAGGCACGCCCAUCCCCUUCCAGACCAGCCUCCCCUGCAGGCCCUGCUACUAGGAUUGGUGUACGGAGAGCUCUGCAGACAGGGGAAGAGCCAAAUAGGGUUUAUGGAGGGGCCAGUGUUGGAGAGGCUGAGAGGGAUAAUUCAGAGAGGUACAAGGAGCCUCAACCUGUGUGUGGCCCACGCCUACAGCUAGUGGCAGUGCUACCUGAAAGAAUGCCUUGACCUGAACCAACUGCUGUGCCUCCCGAGCCUCAGUGUGCCUGCCUGGUUGUACAAGGGCACUUUGGUGCACCAUGUUGUGAUCAAACUGAGAGGGGGCUUGACCCCAGAUUUUCUCCUAAUGGGAGGCCCUUGCUUUUGGCAGCUGUAUAGGGCCAUGCUGGGAGCCAUACUCAACUCCCAUGAUGCUGCUGUCAUCCCCUUGGUGUCUGGGCCACGGAGGGCCACACCUCCAUCCUUGACACAGCCGCUGGAUGACCUGACGGCCCAUCUACACAUUCUGGCUCUGGAAGAAGAUGAUGGUGCUGGAGGUGGGAGCAAGGCCAAGACAGAGGACGAUCUGAGUUGGACUUUGGUCUCAGUGCGGACCCGGCACAAGAGAAAGGACAGAUUCAACCGAGCUAGGAAUCCAGAAUUCUCCCGGAAGCAGGGGCGGAUCGGCUGGGAAUAGGGAGGGACCACUAUAACUGUUUAGAUAUAGAGACGUUCUGCUCAACUCUUUAAUAUUUUUAUUGUUCUUAUGUGUACCUUUUAUGACUUAAUUGACAUUGUUUUUUAGCAUGAACUAUAAUAGAAGUUAUAAGUUUCACUUUGUUUUAUUUUGGUCUUUGAAAAUAGCUCUAUAAAUCCCAUGUAUUGUUACUAUUACAUUACUGCUGCUCUGGAAAUAAUUUAUCAUAAUUGUAUCAAAAUGAAAAAUAACAUUUAAACCAGCUGUUGUUGAGAAUGAUUGGGUAUACACACUAAAGUCUCUCUGCUAUGGCAGUAUAUUUUAUAUGGAAAUCUUAAACUGAACAAAUCUUAGAUAUUGUAGUUUUUACCUCAAUCUGAAAACGUUUGAUACUCAAACCCUUCACCCAGUUAGAAGACACUUAAAAUAAAGUAUGUACGUCCUAUAACUUUAAAUGUAGUUGUCCAAUAAUACAUUGGUGUAUGGUUACUAUGAUAAUACAUAAGUCCAGUUAUCAUUCUCCUCAUUAUCAUAUUCCAGUUAUCAUUAUUCACUAGUAAGGGUGGGUACCGCUUUGUUGCACUAUGCCACCUAGUGAAA